GUGAAAACACCCUGGGGAGGAGAAGCCGACAGCGGAGCUCCUGCGAGGAGCCGGCAGGAUCCAGGAGACGUGAAGGUGGAUGAAAAAUCCGACCCCUCAUGGCACCAGUGCCCAGCGCUCCCUGCGGCACCAUCAGUCCAGAGGGAGGGGGAAUGAGCUGCCCAUCCCAUGGGAUUCCGGAGGGAGGGGCUUUGGAGCCGGCCAGGCUGUUCUUGCUGGACGAUGGAAUGUUUAUAGUCUAAAUAAAGUUUUCCUGCUCUUCCCA